rnacentral:rRNA from 1 species
AUGUGGUGGCUGCCGCCUUGCUUCCACGGCGGCGGCGCGGCCAAGGGAGAAGGCAGAGACCACUUCGACCCCGUCCCCGUGUCCCCGGCCGGGGCCUCGGCGCGGUCCAUGAGCACGGCCACGUCGUCCACCAUCACCGCCCCGUCCGGCUCCGACCUCACCGGCUCCAUCAACGCCUCCGACCUGAGCGCCGACUCCAUCCAGCGCCCGCAGCAGUACCCGAGCUUCGCCGACAGGCCCGCCAACCUCCGGGUCUUCACCUACGCCGAGCUGCGGGCCGCCACCCGCAACCUCAGCCGCUCGCUCAUGCUCGGCGAGGGCGGCUUCGGCUGCGUCUACCGGGGCGCCAUCAAGGUCGACGCCGGCGCCGGAGACGAGACGCCUCCCCCGAUGGAGGUCGCCGUCAAGCACCUCAACCGGAACGGGCUUCAGGCAAGAUACUGCAUACAGAUAUAUACUCCACCAACCACAUAUUCACAUUGCUCUCUGGUGGCUCUGUCGGCCAGUAAAAUUAAUGGCGAAUUUGAUGAUCUUGAUCAGGGGCACAAGGAGUGGCUGACGGAGGUGAACGUCCUGGGCAUCGUGGACCAUCCCAAUCUGGUGAAGCUGGUGGGCUACUGCGCCGACGACGACGAGCGAGGGGCGCAGAGGCUUCUGGUGUACGAGUACAUGCCGAACCGGAGCGUGGACGAUCACCUGUCGGGCAGAGCGAUCGGGACGACCCUGUCGUGGCCUAUGCGGCUCAGGGUGGCUCUCGACGCCGCCAAGGGGCUCAAGUACCUGCACGAAGACAUGGAUUUCCAGAUAAUUUUCCGGGACCUGAAGACGUCAAACAUUCUGCUGGAUGAAGACUGGAACGCCAAGCUGUCGGACUUCGGCAUGGCUAGGGAAGGCCCGACGGAGGGCCUCACGCACGUCUCCACAGCGGUGGUUGGCACCCUGGGGUACGCGGCACCGGAGUACAUCCAGACGGGGCGGCUGAACGCCAAGAGCGACAUCUGGAGCUACGGGGUGCUGCUCUACGAGCUCAUCACGGGGCGCCGGCCCAUCGACGGGGAGCGGCCGAGGGGCGAGCAGAAGCUGCUGGACUGGGUGAAGCCCUACAUCUCCGACACCAACAGGCUGAGGCUGAUCGUGGACCCGAAGCUGGAGGGGCGGUACAGCAUCAAGUCGGUGGCCAAGCUGGUCACCGUGGCCAACCGCUGCCUUGCCAGGCUGCCCAAGGCGCGCCCCAGGAUGGGGGAGGUGCUGGACAUGGUGCAGAAGGCCGUCGACGUCGACGGCGGCGCCGGCGCUCCUCCGCUGCACCACUACAGCAGCGGCGGCAGCAGGGAGGAGGGAGGCAGCUCCAAGCUGAAGCAGGAGGGCAAGAAAGGGUUUCAUGGUCAGUGGCGAGGUGGAAGAGGGAAAGGGCCCCUCAUGUGCUGA